rnacentral:rRNA from 1 species
AACGAACGCUGGCGGCAUGCCUAACACAUGCAAGUCGAACGAGACCUUCGGGUCUAGUGGCGCACGGGUGCGUAACGCGUGGGAACCUGCCCUUAGGUUCGGAAUAACUCCCCGUAAGGGGUGCUAAUACCGGUUAAUGUCUUCGGACCAAAGAUUUAUCGCCGUUGGAUGGGCCCGCGUUGGAUUCGCUAGUUGGUAGGGUAAAAGCCUACCAAGGCGACGAUGCAUAGCUGGUCGGAGAGGAUGAUCAGCCACACUGGGACUGAGACACGGCCCAGACUCGUACGGGAGGGAGCAGUGGGGAAUAUUAGACAAUGGGCGAAAGCCUGAUCCAGCAAUGCCGCGUGAGUGAUGAAGGCCUUAGGGUUGUAAAGCUCUUUUACCCGGGAUGAUAAUGACAGUACCGGGAGAAUAAGCUCCGGCUAACUCCGUG